rnacentral:tRNA from 1 species
GUCAGGAUGGCCGAGCGGUCCAAGGCGCUGCGUUCAGGUCGCAGUCCGGUCUUGCGGGCGUGGUUUCGAAACCCACUUCUGACA